UAGUCCACGCCGUAAACGAUGAGCACUAGCUAUUGGUGAGGUAACAUCAUCAGUGGCGCAGCUAACGCAUUAAGUGCUCCGCCUGGGGAGUACGGUCGCAAGACUAAAACUCAAAGGAAUUGACGGGGGCCCGCACAAGCGGUGGAUUAUGUGGUUUAAUUCGAGGCUACGCGAAAAACCUUACCUAGGCUUGAAAUCCUGCGAAUAGGUUGUAAUGGGCCUAGUGCUAGCAAUAGAACGCAGAGACAGGUGCUGCAUGGCUGUCGUCAGCUCGUGUUGUGAAAUGUUGGGUUAAGUCUCGCAACGAGCGCAACCCCUAUCUCUAGUUACCAUCAUUCAGUUGGGGACUCUAGAGAGACUGUCCGGGUUAACCGGGAGGAAGGUGGGGAUGACGUCAAGUCCUCAUGGCCCUUAUGCCUAGGGCUACACACAUAAUACAAUGGGGUUGACAGAGGGAAGCGAACCAGCGAUGGGGGAGCGAAAUCUCAAAAACGACCUACUCAGUCCGG
rnacentral:rRNA from 1 species